rnacentral:rRNA from 1 species
GCCUACGGGCCAAAGAGGGGGACCUUCGGGCCUCUCGCGUCAGGAUAUGCCUAGGUGGGAUUAGCUAGUUGGUGAGGUAAGGGCUCACCAAGGCGACGAUCCCUAGCUGGUCUGAGAGGAUGAUCAGCCACACUGGAACUGAGACACGGUCCAGACUCCUACGGGAGGCAGCAGUGGGGAAUAUUGCACAAUGGGCGCAAGCCUGAUGCAGCCAUGCCGCGUGUAUGAAGAAGGCCUUCGGGUUGUAAAGUACUUUCAGUCGUGAGGAAGGCGGCGUCGUUAAUAGCGGCGUUGUUUGACGUUAGCGACAGAAGAAGCACCGGCUAACUCCGUGCCAGCAGCCGCGGUAAUACGGAGGGUGCGAGCGUUAAUCGGAAUUACUGGGCGUAAAGCGCAUGCAGGUGGUUUGUUAAGUCAGAUGUGAAAGCCCGGGGCUCAACCUCGGAAUAGCAUUUGAAACUGGCAGACUAGAGUACUGUAGA